rnacentral:lncRNA from 1 species
CAGCCAGGCGGGAGUGGAAUGGGCACAAGGGAGGGGCUGGUAGGGACGACCCCUCCCAUAUUGGGCCUUAAAGCAGAAGGGUGCCCCAGGUGGCGGUCCCAGAAGCCAGGUGGCCAGCCAAGGCAAGGGAGGAAGAAACCCCAGCUCCAGGGGCUCAGCAGGCAAAGGGAAUCACUGAGUGGGGGCACCACCCGUGGACUCCAAUAUCUCAACCUCUCCCUCCACAGGUUGGAGGUGGGAGGAACAACCCCCACCAAACCCAGAGCCGAAAACUGAGGGAGUUUUACAGACAGGACGGAGCUCCUGCACCUCGGAGCCUCAGUUGGGAAUGACCUGGGGUCUUGUCCUGAAGCUGAGUCUGGUGAACGUGCCCCAUUUGUAACAUGAGGGGUACUUCUCUGGAGGGACUGUAUGUUGACAGUGGCAGAGUGGAGCCCUGAAGUCCACCUGAGUGAAUAUACCAGGGCUUGAGAAUGGGCUUUGAUCCUUCCAUCCCCGCAAAAGGCAUUUUCCUACCACCUCCCAAGGCUGAUGGGGCAGUGUGGGCAUUUCAAGUGUUGCAGUUCUGUUGCCCAGCC